rnacentral:rRNA from 1 species
CGUAGGGUGCGAGCGUUACUCGGAAUUACUGGGCGUAAAGCGUGCGCAGGCGGUUUUGUAAGCCAGAUGUGAAAUCCCCGGGCUCAACCUGGGAAUGGCAUUUGGGACUGCAAGGCUCGAGUGCGGCAGAGGAGACUGGAAUUCCUGGUGUAGCAGUGAAAUGCGUAGAUAUCAGGAGGAACACCGAUGGCGAAGGCAGGUCUCUGGGCUGACACUGACGCUCAUGCACGAAAGCGUGGGGAGCAAACAGG